AUAACUAAAUUGGCCGAUAAAGGGAAUGUUGAGGUCUUGUACCUUUCAAAAUGGAUCAAUACGAGAUUGGACUACGGUUAUUGUCAAUCCAGAAUCCUAGGUGAAGUCCUACCUUAUGACAAAUUUUGCUAGAUCUUAAAUUAAUUGAUAAUGUACGAAGUAUCCUGGAAUGCAUUGUACCAGUAUGGUUGGCUGUGCAUGGAAUGAGAACCAAAGUUACUGAUGUGACAGUCUACAUUGAAGAUGGUAAACAGGACAUAUUCAAAGACUUCUUGGAGAAUGAAUUUGAAAAUUGUGGUUCACUAUUGACUGGCUUUCUGAAGGAAUGUUUGAGAUGGUUUUGAUUUCAUCUUUGUGAAGUUGACUGAUUUAACCUGCACCUUAGAAUUAUGAAGACUUAGACCAAGAGUAAUACUAGAGUAUUUGUGAACUGUUAAUAAUGUCCAUUAAUAUCCCAGCCACAAGAGAAAUCUGCAUUUACAGGAAUGGAUGCAGUGGAUGUUAAACUGACAAGAUGCUGAUCAAGAUUGUCAACUCUGCUACAAAUGAUUUGCAUAAGAAUUUUAUCGAUCAAAAAAAUAAGUUAUUGAACUGUUUUUUCUGAGUGAAUAUUUAUUCCAAUAAAUUACAUUGAACAAAUAAAA